rnacentral:misc_RNA from 1 species
GAUGAAGAACGUAGCGAAAUGCGAUAAGUAAUGUGAAUUGCAGAAUUCAGUGAAUCAUCGAAUCUUUGAACGCACAUUGCGCCCCCCAGUAUUCUGGCGGGCAUGCCUGUUCGAGCGUCAUUUCAACCAUCAAGCCCUGCUUGUGUUGGGGUCCUGCGGCUGCCCGCAGGCCCUGAAAACCAGUGGCGGGCUCGCUAGUCACACCGAGCGCAGUAGCACAUCUCGCUCAGGGCGUGCGGCGGGCUCCAGCCGUUAAAGCACCCACCUUUCGCAAGGUUGACCUCGGAUCAGGUAGGAAUACCCGCUGAACUUGAGCAUAUCAAUAAGCGGAGGA